CCUACGGGUGGCAGCAGUGAGGAAUAUUGGACAAUGGACGAAAGCCUGAUCCAGCCACGCCGCGUGAAGGAAGACUGUUUUCGGGUUGUAAACUUCUGUUCUUAUUGGAGUAUAAUGACGGUAGCUAGGGAGCAAGCCACGGCUAACUACGUGCCGGCAGCCGCGGUAAUACGUAGGUGCCAAGCGUUGUCCGGAUUUACUGGGUAUAAAGGGAGCGCAGGCGGGAAGCUAAGUCAGCUGUGAAAACUACGGGCUCAACUUGUAGACUGCAGUUGAAACUGGUAUUCUUGAGUGAAGUAGAGGUUGGCGGAAUUCAGAGUGUAGCGGUGAAAUGCGUAGAUAUUAGGAGGAACACCGGUGGCGAAGGCGGCUAACUGGGCUUCAACUGACGCUGAGGCUCGAAAGUGUGGGGAGCAAACAGGAUUAGAUACCCUGGUAGUC
rnacentral:rRNA from 1 species